AUUGAACGCUGGCGGCAUGCCUUACACAUGCAAGUCGAACGGCAGCACGGGGCAACCUGGUGGCGAGUGGCGAACGGGUGAGUAAUGCAUCGGAACGUACCUUUCAGUGGGGGAUAACGUAGCGAAAGUUACGCUAAUACCGCAUAUUCUGUGAGCAGGAAAGCAGGGGAUCGCAAGACCUUGCGCUGAUUGAGCGGCCGAUGUCAGAUUAGCUAGUUUGGGAGGUAAAGGUUCACCAAGGCGACGAUCUGUAUCGGGUCUGAGAGGAUGAUCCGGCACACUGGAACUGAGACACGGUCCAGACUCCUACGGGAGGCAGCAGUGGGGAAUUUUGGACAAUGGGGGCAACCCUGAUCCAGCCAUGCCGCGUGAGUGAAGAAGGCCUUCGGGUUGUAAAGCUCUUUCGGCCGGGAAGAAAUCGCACGGGCUAAUACCCUGUGUGGAUGACGGUACCGGAAUAAGAAGCACCGGCUAACUACGUGCCAGCCGCCGCAGUAAGAC
rnacentral:rRNA from 1 species